rnacentral:snRNA from 1 species
AGCUCGAGUUUCUCUUCAUUGUCGCAUAAAUCUUUCGCCUUUUACUGAAGAUUUCCGUGGAGGGGAGCUUUUGCGAGUGACCUGUAUUUUUGGGGGCUCUGCUCACAGCAGAGCU